AUUUAUGUAACUGAUAACAUAAAUUACAGUUAAAUAUAAUGUAAAACACACCACAAUAGGUUCUGUGAAAAUCAGGGAAACCGCCUGAGUAGCAGCUUGAACAAUUGCAUUUUUUGGAUCACGUUCGCGUUUGUGAACUGUGUACCAUGCAGAAUUACCGGUUGUUUUACGUAAGUGUUUUGCUUUAUAGUCAAGGAUGGUAUCUUCGUGAGGUACUGGAAAUGCGAGGAACACAACCACAAGAAUAGUAGCAGCCCAAAUCAUGUUGAUCCAAAAUGUCCAUCUCCAUCCUAAAUAGCUCUGCGAAAUAAAAUUGCCAAUAAUUGGUCCAAUUAUGGGACCUAAAUAUGGAAAGGUGCAUAGUGCGGGAAGAACAUAAGUACGUUGGAUCGGUGUGAAUAUAUCACUAAUUGUUCCUCCGCAAUUUGCUAGAGGCGUACUUCCAAAAAAACCCUGAAGAAACCUGAAUAUGACUAAUGACCAAACAUUGCUAGCGCAACCACUACCGAUUUGAAAAAUAAUGAAGACAAGCAGAGUUCCAAUGUAUACAAUAAGUCUUCCGUAUAUACUGCUUAGUGGAGCAAAUGGAAUAGAGCCUACACCGAAACCGACCAAGAAUGUGCACGUUCGCAGAGUGGUAACUAAAAUAGAAGAUCCAAAUCUUCCGAUAUUUCAACUGUACCAGUGGAGUAAACACUGGAAGCGAAGGUUACAACUAUCGUGAUAGUGGAAACCUGAAUAACGACCCACCAUUUUCUAGUGUAUGACCAAUUUCGAGGAUUUAAAGGGUCAUUUAAACCACCCCAAGUAACCAAAUAUGGAACUUGGAUUCUCGUAUCUACUUUUGAAUCAUGUGAAAAAUCGCUUUUGUUGUCAGUCGAUAGCUUUUCGGUAAUCUUUCGAUUAUUUUCA